GAUGAACGCUGACAGAAUGCUUAACACAUGCAAGUCGAUUCGAUUUACCUUCGAGUAUUGAGGAUGGCGGACGGGUGAGUAACGCGUAAGGAACUUGCCUCUUGGUCUGGGACAACUGUUGGAAACGACAGCUAAUACCGGAUAUUAUGAGAUUCUCGCAUGGGAAACUUAUGAAAGCUAUAUGCGCCAAGAGAGAGCCUUGCGUUCCAUUAGCUAGUUGGUGGGGUAACGGCCCACCAAGGCGACGAUGGAUAGCCGGCCUGAGAGGGUGAACGGCCACAAGGGGACUGAGACACGGCCCUUACUCCUACGGGAGGCAGCAGUGGGGAAUAUUGGACAAUGGGCCACAAGCCUGAUCCAGCAAUUCUGUGUGCACGAUGAAGGUCUUCGGAUUGUAAAGUGCUUUCAGUUGGGAAGAAGAAAGUGACGGUACCAACAGAAGAAGCGACGGCUAAAUACGUGCCAGCAGCCGCGGUAAUACGUAUGUCGCAAGCGUUAUCCGGAUUUAUUGNGCGUAAAGCGCGUCUAGGCGGAAAAAUAAGUCUGAUGUUAAAAUGCGGGGCUCAACUCCGUAUUGCGUUGGAAACUGUUUUUCUAGAGUACUGNAGAGGUGGGCGGAACUAC
rnacentral:rRNA from 1 species